UACGGAGGAUCCGAGCGUUAUCCGGAUUUAUUGGGUUUAAAGGGUGCGCAGGCGGGAGAUUAAGUCGGCGGUGAAAUUUUGCAGCUCAACUGUAAAAGUGCCUUCGAUACUGGUUUCCUUGAGUGUGGAUGAAGUAGGCGGAAUUUGUGGUGUAGCGGUGAAAUGCUUAGAUAUCACGAGGAACUCCGAUUGCGCAGGCAGCUUACUAAACCACUACUGACGCUCAGGCACGAAGGCGUGGGGAUCAAACAUGAUUAGAUACCCU
rnacentral:rRNA from 1 species